UGAGUGGUGGUCAUGGUACCCUUGAUGAUACCUGUCAUGGAUUGUCAUUUUCCAUUGGCAUGCAUAGUAGAGAAUAUGAUCUUUUCUUCACAUAAAUUAGUCUCAAAUAUUGCAUGCAUAAGUCAUUUUAGUUUUCUUUUUUUCCCUUCUAAAACAAGAGUAUCUUUUGGCCGAGAGUCAAAGAUUGAAUCCUGGCUAAUCAUACCACAUCAUGUUAGUUCAUUUUAGUUUUUAAUUUCACUAAAAGAUUACUUUAAAAAAUGUCAUUCAUGUUAGGUCUUUUUCACUCCCAUUUCCACCAACAGUAACAAGGGCUAGAGUAAGUGACAUUUUAUAAAGUUCUAGUUACUUGUUUUGUUUCAUUUGAAGCACGCUUCAAUUUGAUGGAUGGGGAAUGAACUUAAAAAAAUGUGGUGACAAGGCACAUUACCGAAUUUCUGAUCAAGGACCUUGACAAAGGGUGCAAGGCAGUUAGUGGUGCAAGAGGCAUUGCUGAUGAUGGGUUCAUCAGGGCUGUAGUCAUACUCAUUGACACCAACCACGUAGGUGGGGAUAUCUCCUUUACCAGGAGCAGUGAUGAGCACCUUCUUAGCUCCUGCUUGAAUGUGUUUCCCUGCACCUUCUCUGUCUACAAACACCCCGGUUCCUUCAAUCACCAAGUCUAUCCCCAAGUCCCUGCAACAAUAGCACAUAGUUACACCACUUUCUUCAAAAAUUGAGUAAAACUAGUUGCAUGGAAAUGAAAAAGAGGCUUACUUCCAAGGAAGGUUGGCAGGGUUGCGGUCAGAAACAACUUUGAUUUCCUUUCCAUCCACGGAGAUGACAUUGCUGCCAACAGGCUUGACAUCAGCAUCGAAGGUUCCGAGGAUGGAAUCGUAUUUGAGAAGGUGAGAGGCUUGUUUCACGCCGCCGGUGUCGUUGAUGGCAAUGACAUCAAGAGGGGAGUCUUUGCGACCGUGCCAGCACCUCAAGAAGUUCCUUCCAAUCCUUCCAAACCCGUUUAUGGCAACCUUCAGUUUUGCUUCUGUCACACCCUUCUUGUAU
rnacentral:lncRNA from 1 species